CCUANGGGUGGCUGCAGUCGAGAAUUUUUCACAAUGGGGGAAACCCUGAUGGAGCGACGCCGCGUGGAGGAUGAAGGCCUUCGGGUCGUAAACUCCUGUCAUGCGAGAACAAGAAAGUGAUAGUAUCGCAAGAGGAAGAGACGGCUAACUCUGUGCCAGCAGCCGCGGUAAUACAGAGGUCUCAAGCGUUGUUCGGAUUCAUUGGGCGUAAAGGGUGCGUAGGUGGCGUGGAAAGUUGAGUGUGAAAUCCUAGGGCUUAACCUUAGAACUGCACUCAAUACUCCCAUGCUAGAGGAAUGUAGAGGAGAGUGGAAUGCACGGUGUAGCAGUGAAAUGCGUAGAUAUCGUGAGGAAGACCAGUUGCGAAGGCGACUCUCUGGGCAUUUCCUGACACUGAGGCACGAAGGCCAGGGGAGCAAACGGGAUUAGAUACCCCUNUANUC
rnacentral:rRNA from 1 species